rnacentral:rRNA from 1 species
AGCGAACGCUAGCGGCGGGCCUAACACAUGCAAGUCGAGCGGGGAGCAAUCCCAGCGGCGAACGGGUGAGUAACACGUAGGUAAUGUGCCUUUUGGUGGGGAAUAACCGUGGGAAACCAUGGCUAAUACCGCAUAUCGUGCUUCGGCAUGAAAGCUUCUGAGGCAACUCGGGGCGCCAGUUGAGCAGCCUGCGUCCCAUUAUUUAGUCCUAGUUGGUAGGGUAAUGGCCUACCAAGGGUACGAUGGGUAGCUGGUCUGAGAGGAUGAUCAGCCACACUGGAACUGAGACACGGUCCAGACUCCUACGGAGGCAGCAGUGGGGAAUAUUGCGCAAUGGGGGAAACCCUGACGCAGCCACGCCGC